GCUGGGGGGGGUGCUUACACAUGCAAGUCGAACGAUGAUGCCCAGCUUGCUGGGCGGAUUAGUGGCGAACGGGUGAGUAACACGUGAGUAACCUGCCCUUGACUUCGGGAUAACUCCGGGAAACCGGGGCUAAUACCGGAUAUGAGCCGUCCUCGCAUGGGGGUGGUUGGAAAGUUUUUCGGUCAGGGAUGGGCUCGCGGCCUAUCAGCUUGUUGGUGGGGUGAUGGCCUACCAAGGCGACGACGGGUAGCCGGCCUGAGAGGGCGACCGGCCACACUGGGACUGAGACACGGCCCAGACUCCUACGGGAGGCAGCAGUGGGGAAUAUUGCACAAUGGGCGAAAGCCUGAUGCAGCGACGCCGCGUGAGGGAUGAAGGCCUUCGGGUUGUAAACCUCUUUCAGCAGGGAAGAAGCGCAAGUGACGGUACCUGCAGAAGAAGCGCCGGCUAACUACGUGCCAGCAGCCGCGGUAAUACGUAGGGCGCAAGCGUUGUCCGGAAUUAUUGGGCGUAAAGAGCUCGUAGGCGGUUUGUCGCGUCUGGUGUGAAAACUCGAGGCUCAACCUCGAGCUUGCAUCGGGUACGGGCAGACUAGAGUGCGGUAG
rnacentral:rRNA from 1 species